rnacentral:rRNA from 1 species
GGGGGAUAUUGCACAAUGGGGGGAACCCUGAUGCAGCGACGCCGCGUGGGCGAUGGAGCGCCUCGGCGCGUAAAGCCCUAUCAGCAGGGAAGAAGAUGACGGUACCUGACUAAGAAGCCCCGGCUAAAUACGUGCC